GGUAGCGGCCGGGGGCCUCCGCGGCUUCGGCCGUGAGGAAGUUCCGUCCACCGCAAAUGCAGCCCUCACGGGACGCGCGAGAGUGCGGGAAGCAUCACAGAGACGAGCCGGCUUAAUGCGCACUAUGAGAGCAUUCGAGAUUGCAUUAAGCCUUGUGAAACGCAGGUGCCCUGCUGGUGCAACACCUUCGGGUGGCUAAGACGAACGCCCCAGAGCAAAUACUGGACACACGAGUGCUCGAAGCACUCGCGUGCACCAUUUGCAUAAAAGCAAAUGCGUGUGGCCUUUAAUGCUCACAGGAGACGGACUACUGCCGCUGCC
rnacentral:RNase_P_RNA from 2 species